rnacentral:rRNA from 1 species
CGCGUAGGCGGUCUCUUAAGUCAGAUGUGAAAGCCCGGGGCUUAACCUCGGAAGUGCAUUUGAAACUAAGGGACUUGAGUAUGGGAGAGGGAAGUGGAAUUCCGGGUGUAGCGGUGAAAUGCGUAGAUAUCAGGAGGAACACCGGUGGCGAAGGCGACUUCCUGGACCAAUACUGACGCUGAGGCGCGAAGGCGUGGGGAGCAAACAGGAUUAGAUACCCUGGUAGUCC